AGUGCUCCUUAUAGGACUGGGGUGGGAUUGAGCGAUGUAGGGGCUAUGGACUGGGGGAGCUGUGACAUCACAAGGAGGGGCUGUGUCAUCACUAGUCAGAGCCAUCUUAAGGCGAGGGAAAUCUAAUACUCCAGGUUUUUGUUCUAUGGUUGUUGGGUGAAGGUCUCUUCUUCUGGAGCUGUUUCAAGCUGACAAAGGGGCGCAGGUUGCGGCUAAACCUGGAUCUGGCAGGGACAGUGGGCAGGAACACUGGAUAUGCGAAUUUGAGAAUGUCAGAGAUGUAAUCUCCAGACAGCUCAACAAAGAGGAAACGCUGUCUCCCCAGAGACCACUACAACCUUGGCUGCUGUGCUCUCUACUUUAGGGCCUCUACAGCUCCGACCGGCAGCCUCUAAAGCUUCCACCACCCUUGCUGCUUCUCGCAUGGUGGACUACUUGUCCCUUUCAGGGAAAGAGAGGUCGUCACAGGUGAUUCCUGGAAGAGGGGCAACUUCCUCCUCGCAGCCUGAACUGCUAGUCUCUGGUCAAGAAAGAGGCUCAGAAGAACGUGAAAGGAGAGGGAGAUGAGAGUGACGCCAC
rnacentral:lncRNA from 1 species